rnacentral:tRNA from 1 species
GCGCCCGUAGCUCAUGCGGAUAGAGCAUCAGCCUUCUAAGCUGAGGCUAGCACGUUCGAGUCCUGCCGGGCGCGCCA